UACAGAGGGUGCGAGCGUUAAUCGGAGUUACUGGGCGUAAAGGGCGCGUAGGCGGUAGAUUAAGUGAGUAGUGAAAUCCCUGGGCUUAACCUAGGAAUUGCGACUCAUACUGGUUUACUGGAGUGCAGUAGAGGAUAGUGGAAUUUCCGGUGUAGCGGUGAAAUGCGUAGAUAUCGGAAGGAACACCAGUGGCGAAGGCGACUAUCUGGGCUGACACUGACGCUGAGGCGCGAGAGCGUGGGGAGCAAACAGG
rnacentral:rRNA from 1 species